rnacentral:rRNA from 1 species
UCAGUCGACUCCUACGGGGAGGCAGCAGUGGGGAAUAUUGCACAAUGGGGGAAACCCUGAUGCAGCCAUGCCGCGUGUGUGAAGAAGGCCUUCGGGUGUAAAGCACUUUCAGUAGGGAGGAAGGUAGUGUAGUUAACACCUGCACUAUUUGACGUUGCCUACAGAAGAAGCACCGGCUAACUCCGUGCCAGCAGCCGCGGUAAUACGGAGGGUGCGAGCGUUAAUCGGAAUUACUGGGCGUAAAGCGCAUGCAGGCGGCCUGUUAAGUCAGAUGUGAAAGCCCGGGGCUUAACCUCGGAAUUGCAUUUGAAACUGGCAGGCUAGAGUCUUGUAGAGGGGGGUAGGAAUUUCAGGUGUAGCGGUGAAAUGCGUAGAGAUCUGAAGGAAUACCAGUGGCGAAGGCGGCCCCCUGGACAAAGACUGACGCUCAGAUGCGAAAGCGUGGGGAGCAAACAGGAUUAGAUACCCUGGUAG